rnacentral:rRNA from 1 species
CAAUAGCGUAUAUUUAAGUUGUUGCAGUUAAAAAGCUCGUAGUUGGAUUUCGGAUGGGACUUGCCGGUCCGUCGUUUCGAUGUGCACUGGCCAGUCCUAUCUUGUUGUCGGGGACUAGCUCCUGGGCUUCACUGUCCGGGACUAGGAGCUGACGAGGUUACUUUGAGUAAAUUAGAGUGUUCAAAGCAAGCCUACGCUCUGAAUACAUUAGCAUGGAAUAACACGAUAGGACUCUGGCUUAUCUUGUUGGUCUGUGAGACCAGUGUAAUGAUUAAGAGGGACAGUCGGGGGCAUUCGUAUUUCAUUGUCAGAGGUGAAAUUCUUGGAUUUAUGAAAGACGAACUUCUGCGAAAGCAUUUGUCAAGGAUGUUUUCAUUAA